GAUGAACGCUGGCGGCGUGCCUAAUACAUGCAAGUCGAGCGAACAGAUAAGGAGCUUGCUCCUUUGACGUUAGCGGCGGACGGGUGAGUAACACGUGGAUAACCUACCUAUAAGACUGGGAUAACUUCGGGAAACCGGAGCUAAUACCGGAUAACAUAUUGAACCGCAUGGUUCAAUAGUGAAAGGCGGCUUUGCUGUCACUUAUAGAUGGAUCCGCGCCGUAUUAGCUAGUUGGUAAGGUAACGGCUUACCAAGGCAACGAUACGUAGCCGACGUGAGAGGGUGAUCGGCCACACUGGAACUGAGACACGGUCCAGACUCCUACGGGAGGCAGCAGUAGGGAAUCUUCCGCAAUGGGCGAAAGCCUGACGGAGCAACGCCGCGUGAGUGAUGAAGGUCUUCGGAUCGUAAAACUCUGUUAUCAGGGAAGAACAAAUGUGUAAGUAACUGUGCACAUCGUGACGGUACCUGAUCAGAAAGCCACGGCUAACUACGUG
rnacentral:rRNA from 1 species